GCAUUGGUGGUUCAGUGGCAGAAUUCUUACCUUCCGUGUAGGAGAUGCAGAUGCGAUUCCUGACGAUGCA
rnacentral:tRNA from 1 species